GAGGAGCAUGAAUCACAGAGGUUGACCUGACCAGAUAAUGACUUCUAUGGAUUUGUGGGGGUUCUCACUUAAUAAUUAAACAGGGUGAUAGAAAAAAAAGACCAAGUGAUCAGGUUGACAAAGCACAUCAAUUAUUGUACAUGUGGUGAGAAAGUCGAGGUUGAAUGAGCCUCGCCUACUGGAGUGUUUCCAUAGAAACCCAUUUUUAUGGCUAAGUGCUCUCUCGUCUCCUCCUGUAUUGGUCCGCUGGUCACUUAACAACCUCAUCGUGGUGUGAAUGGACACACGCUGAGACGGGAUGGAGACACUAAGACUGAUUGGACCGAUCAUGAAAACGCAAAUUAGAAGUCACUCCGUUAAUCCACAUCAAAAUUCAAACGUUCUUUUGAACCAAAAGGUCUAACCAAACUUUCGGAAGACACGGGAUAGUCCAAACCAAACAGGCAAGUGUGAAUGUGCUUUAUGUAUUCUAUUGCAAUAACCUGGUUGUUGUUGUUGUUUUUUCUUUCUGUUGGGUCCAUUUGCUUACUCUUAGUUUUAGAGAAUCUCCACACCUGCAGCUCUUCUAGUUCAAACUCCUUUAGUUGAUUCAAAGCCAGGUGUCUGAACAACUAUGAAACGAUUUUUAACAUUUUUGAUCCUCAUCAGGAACUAGUUCUGU